CUUAGCAACAGUGGUUUCAAUACGCUCAUGCUUCACUAGCUGUGACACCAUUGUUCUACAGAAAUAAAGAAAACCCAAUUUUCCAAAAAAUCCCAAAUUUAAAUGUAUAAGCAUAUACAUACAUCUGUACAAGUACAAAAAACAGUAAAGAUUAAACCCUAAAAGCCAGAACGUGAAUAACAGGAAUAGGAUAAACCUGAGCAUAGACAUUCGAUGACCCGUGGGGCGAUUAAGCUUUCUGAACUUCGUCAUGCUGAUUGUACAGAGAGAGAGAGAGUUCAAAUGAAGGAAAAACCCUAGCGCAAGAAGUAGUUCCAGUUAGCAAUGGCUGUAACACUGAUGGCCAUUAGACUGACUUGGGGUUUUAGACUUGGGUGGGCUCAGGUAUGGGUGUUGGUUUUAGCCCAAACAAUUCUUGUUCAAACAUUUUGACUGGGUUUUUCCAUAACAAAAUGUUUUCAUU
rnacentral:lncRNA from 1 species